UGGGAGUCUGUAAAGAAAUGCUCAUUUCAGUGCCUGAAUGUCAUCACCCAUAUGCUCUACAGAGCAUCUGAGUCACCUCUAAGACAAUCAGAAAGGCACAUGGGAAAUCCUUAACCUGGAUUUCAGACAGUGGCACAUUUCAAUUUCCAAAACAUGAUGCGCACUUUUCUUUUCCUAGCACUAAGCACCAAAUCUGAUCUUGGUCCUAAGACCAAGAAUUUUCUUCAGAUGCAUACUACAGCUAAAACACGCUUUGCCUUCGAUGGUGGAUCACUCCACUACUGCCACGGUCUCUUCCACCGCACCACUCCUGCUCCCUUCCUGAAGUCGCUUCUAGGUGUCACAUCAGCUGCUGUUCACCUGCCUUCAACAUGUGCUUGCUACACACCCGUCAUGUGUCAGGCCGUGGCGGGGGGGUGGGGUGGGGAUGGAGUAUGGAAUAGACGGAUACAUAAGGUCCAGCAACAAAGACGACGUCUCAGGAACAACACUCCCCAGCAAAAAAUCUCCCUUCCUUCUGGCAAAAUGCAGUUAAACACUCCAACAGGUAAAGCAGGUCAGACACCCAUCACGAUCAUCUCAAGGGAAUCCCGGUCUAGUGGGUAUUUCACGUGGAAUGGGGUACAGAAAGAUGGUAACAGUGUCACCAGCGCACCGACAGGGAUGUGCGUGGGACAACACGUGUUGGCAGCACAAGAGAGGACUGUCUAACCCAGCUAGCCUGAAGGGGGGACAGGAACAGUGAGUUAGGUCAUUAAGAAUGGGUACCAGCAGGUAAAUGCAAAAGGUGGGAAAGCAGGGAAGAGCGUGGUGUGGGGAAA